rnacentral:tRNA from 1 species
CGGCAUGACCUGAUAGCGCACCCUUGGGGUGGGUGAGGUCGCAGGUUCAAAUCCUGUCGUUCCGACCA